rnacentral:rRNA from 1 species
AGUGAACGCUGGCGGUAGGCCUAACACAUGCAAGUCGAACGGCAGCACAGUAAGAGCUUGCUCUUACGGGUGGCGAGUGGCGGACGGGUGAGGAAUACAUCGGAAUCUACUUUUUCGUGGGGGAUAACGUAGGGAAACUUACGCUAAUACCGCAUACGACCUACGGGUGAAAGCAGGGGAUCUUCGGACCUUGCGCGAUUGAAUGAGCCGAUGUCGGAUUAGCUAGUUGGCGGGGUAAAGGCCCACCAAGGCGACGAUCCGUAGCUGGUCUGAGAGGAUGAUUAGCCACGCUGGGAGUGAGACACGGUCCAGGGUACUAAGGGGGGCGGCAGUAGGGAAUAUUGGACGAGGGGAGCAGGCGAGAUCGAGGCAUACCGAGUAGGUGAAGAAGGCCUUCGGGUUGUAAAGUCAUUUUGUUGGGAAAGAAAAGCAGCAGGUUUAUACCCCGCUGUUAUGACGGUACCUAAAGAAUAAGCACCGGCUAAAUUCGUG